AGUGCAAGGAGCUAAAUAAUGUAAGUAAAUAAAUGGCUGGAAGAUAGAAUUGUGUCUCAUGCAGGGCUGCAAGGUGAGCGCUUUGCCGUCAACUGUGUACCAGACUUGUCUGGAAACGUGAAGGGGACCCCUUGUGCAAACCCUUUGCACCGGAGGGGCUAGAUGGCAUCACCCCCCGCGCCCCUGACUGACGGUCACAGUGCGGCAGGGGCUCGCCUGCGUGUUGUGCUGUGCCCGAUGUGCGCGACUCAUCCCUUGUGUGAAGGGUCGCGGCAAGCAAGAUCCUCGCCCAGCAACACAGGACGCAAGGCGGGAGGGGACACACCCUGGACGGGACGCCAGUCCACCGCAAGGCACCCCAAGCAGAACUUGAACUCCAGACCCGCCAGAGAGCGUGACCCUUGCUAAGCCUGCUGCACCACCUCACCCCCCCAGUUCACAAGGUAUACAGAAAAAGAAGAGUCCCAGAGACCAGUUGUGAGUUUCCCGGUUUGGACCGCACUGGUUCACAGGUCAUAACCCCAGAAAGGCGCAUCAUUCACCCAUCCGCUGGCCUCGUGAUGAUCCAGGUGCCAAAGGAAAUGUACACAGCGAUUUUUCUGGUUUGAUAAACAUGGACAUUAACCUCAGAUGAAUGAUGAUCAAGUGGCACUACAGUUAUUGACAACAAAACAAACCGCGCCCCCCCGCCCCCCCCAACCGCGGUUGUGGCGGGGGGUGGACCCGGGUCCGCAAAUCCCCGCGAACAGGCCCACCACGGCGGUGCGACUUCAAGGAGCGCCUCUUCAAAGCUUUCCGUUGCAUUUGAAAAGCGCGCCGCAUUGAGGCCGCGCGGAUUUGCCCAUUGUCCCUGACCAUCAGAGGCGAGUGACAUCUUGAACGCCUCAAGAAGAUUAAAUGGCAGCGCUCAGUCGGAAGCCGGGGGUCAGAAAGAGAAGGGUCGGCCAUUAUGGAACAGGUCCUUUCUUGUGCGUGAAAGAGCAUUCAAGGAGGACUACUGGGAGAAGAAGGCGCAGAUAAAGGAUACAAUGGUGGGG
rnacentral:lncRNA from 1 species